rnacentral:RNase_P_RNA from 1 species
UGUUCAUUAUAAAUGAUCGCUUCAUGCUUCGGCGUGAUGAGGAAAGUCCGAACUUCCAACCGCUAAUCUUUUCCACCAAUUGACACCAAUAAUUAGUGUGGAUUUGUGAGAUAGAUUAGUGGUUAAUAAUGUAGCGGGUAACACCCGUCGGUAUACUGGCGACAGUAUAUUAGGGAUAGUGCCACAGAGACUAUACUAGCCUCGCUUCGGCAAGGUGAAACGUGAAAAGAGUAUGGAGGUUUUUGUUCUUAAGACAAAAGCUACUAUACUUCUCCCGCUAUACAGCGGGAGGCGGUAAACCCUACAUGGGAGAAAGAGCAGCGUUCUAAUUUAUUAGUUCGAAAAGUUAGCUCGUUUGAUCCCGACAGCAAUGUCGGGACUAGAGAAAUGAUCAUAGUCCACUAAUCUUUUCCACUAAUUCACACUAAUAAUUGGUAUGGAUUCGUGAAAUAGGUUAGUGGUUCACAAAAUUCGGCUUACAGUAAUGAACAAGAU